rnacentral:rRNA from 1 species
AUGGCCGUGCUCGAUGCCUUUUGGGAGAUUGUGUCAGAGAAUGACCUUCUCCUGCUCUCCAAAGACAAAUUUGUGGAGGGAGUCACUCCCACUGCAUAUGCCUUUGCCAUAGUGGAACAGCGGGGUGGUAAAGGCACAAUCUCUCUUAGAACAUUUGUGGCAGGGGAAAUAAAAAAUCUGAAUGUUGCAAACCCUGUGAAGUCUUCAAGACUAGAGCGCAUUACUUCCAUUCUCUCAACAUCAGGAAGCUUUCUGUCGAUUUUAAAGAUAUGCAGCCUGUCUACUAUACUGCGAGAGUACUCUGCGAUGCACUCUGUAGCUUCACUUCCUUUUAAGGAUUUGAUCUUUUCAGCAUCUGAGAAGAAUAAAGAUGGAGAUGAUCAAAAUCGUGCUUGGAAUGUCCCUGGGCCACUUAUGGAGUACCUGAAAACAAACCUUAAUGAUUCACAGCUAGAUGCAGUUAAUGCAGGUCUUUCUCGCAGAUCCUUUGUCCUUAUUCAGGGCCCUCCAGGAACCGGAAAAACACAAACUAUUCUUGGACUUCUCAGUGCUGUUCUCCAUUCCACUCCAGCCAGAAUGCAGACCAAAGGAGGGUUCAAUGUUCAAAAGCAUGGGUCUGAGCUGGACACUGAGAGCAAGCUUGCAAACUGGAUGAAAGCAUCUCCUUGGCUGAUUGGUGCAAAUCCUCGAGAUUUGAUUAUGCCUGUUGAUGGUGAUGAUGGUUUUUAUCCUACUGGGAAUGAGCUGAAACCUGAAGUCAUAAGUUCCAGUCGCAAGUAUCGGGCCCAUGUGUUGGUUUGCGCUCCAUCCAACUCAGCACUUGAUGAGAUUGUAUUGCAUGUUCUUCAAACAGGAAUACGUGAUGAAAAUAACAACACUUACAAUCCCAAGAUUGUGCGUAUUGGAUUAAAGGCACAUCAUUCUGUCAAAGCAGUUUCCAUGGAUCAUCUUAUACAACAAAAACUUUCUGGUGUGGAUCGCUCAUCAGAUGGCAGGAGAAGUGGAGCUGGUGAAUAUGAUCGAAUUAGAGCUUCUAUUCUUGACGAAGCAGCUAUUGUAUUUUCUACCCUGAGUUUCAGUGGAUCAGCCAUUCUCACCAGGAUGACUCGUGCUUUUGAUGUUGUUAUAAUUGAUGAAGCCGCGCAAGCUGUAGAACCAGCGACUCUUGUACCCCUGGUUCAUGGAUGCAGACAAGUUUUUCUUGUUGGCGACCCAGUUCAGUUGCCAGCAACUGUAAUUUCAUCGACUGCUCAGGAGUUAGGGUAUGGAACAAGUUUGUUCAAGAGAUUUCAAGCUGCUGGUUUUCCUGUGCAAAUGCUCAAAAUUCAGUAUCGUAUGCACCCAGAGAUCAGUAUAUUCCCUUCAAAAGAAUUCUACGAAGGCAUCCUACAAGAUGGGGAGGGACUCAACAAAAAACGUCCAUGGCAUUCCUACAGCUGCUUUGGACCAUUUUGCUUCUUUGAUAUCGAUGAGGUUGAAUCCAAGCCGUCUGGAACUGGUUCAUGGGUGAACGAGGAUGAAGUGGAAUUCAUAACCCUCCUAUAUCACCAAUUGGCCACACACUAUCCAGAACUCAAAUCCAGUUCCCUAGUAGCUGUUAUAUCACCAUACAAGCAUCAGGUGAAACUCUUGAAGGACCAUUUUCGGUCGACCUUCGGCGAUCAAUCUAAGGAAGUUAUAGAUGUAAACACUGUUGAUGGAUUCCAGGGUCGUGAAAAGGAAGUUGUCAUUUUUUCAUGUGUUAGAUGCAAUAAGGAGCAAAAUAUUGGUUUUGUUUCUGAUUUCCGACGAAUGAAUGUUGCCAUCACCAGAGCUAGGUCUGCUGUACUAGUCAUUGGCUCUGCUUCAACAUUGCAGCAAGAUAAACACUGGAACAACCUUGUUGAGAGUGCCAAAGAGCGAGGGCGCUAUUUCAAGGUUUCGAAGCCAUUCACCAUGUUCUUUGCUGAGGAUAAGUUCAAAACCAUGAAGGUGGAAAGACUUGCUCCAGACACAAGGUUCUCUCAGGCAAUAGAAGCAAUUAACGAAGUUGUUGCAAGGCAAGAAGUCAUGGAUGCCGAUGAUGCUGGUGACCAAGCGGAUGGAGACGAUUAUGAUGCCAUGGAGGCUGACGAUGGAGGUGGUGAUGAUUAA